GAUGAACGCUGGCGGCGUGCCUAAUACAUGCAAGUCGAGCGAACAGAUGAGGAGCUUGCUCCUCUGACGUUAGCGGCGGACGGGUGAUUAACACGUGGAUAACCUACCUAUAAGACUGGGAUAACUUCGGGAAACCGGAGCUAAUACCGGAUAAUAUAUUGAACCGCAUGGUUCAAUAGUGAAAGACGGUUUUGCUGUCACUUAUAGAUGGAUCCGCGCCGCAUUAGCUAGUUGGUAAGGUAACGGCUUACCAAGGCAACGAUGCGUAGCCGACCUGAGAGGGUGAUCGGCCACACUGGAACUGAGACACGGUCCAGACUCCUACGGGAGGCAGCAGUAGGGAAUCUUCCGCAAUGGGCGAAAGCCUGACGGAGCAACGCCGCGUGAGUGAUGAAGGUCUUCGGAUCGUAAAACUCUGUUAGUAGGGAAGAACAAAUGUGUAAGUAACUAUGCACGUCUUGACGGUACCUAAUCAGAAAGCCACGGCUAACUACGUG
rnacentral:rRNA from 1 species